UACAGAGGUCUCGAGCGUUAGUCGGAGUCACUGGGCUUAAAGCGUACGUAGGCGGAUAUGCAGGCGUCGUGUGAAAUCCCUUGGCUCAACCAAGGAACUGCACGGCGAACCGCAUGUCUUGAGAUCGGUAGGGGGCGGUCGGAACGAUAGGUGGAGUGGUGAAAUGCGUUGAUAUCUAUCGGAACGCCGAAGGUGAAAGCAGGCCGCUGGGCCGAUUCUGACGCUGAGGUACGGAAGCGUGGGGGAGCGAACGGGG
rnacentral:rRNA from 1 species